AUUGAACGCUGGCGGCAUGCCUUACACAUGCAAGUCGAACGGUAACGGGCCUUCGGGUGCCGACGAGUGGCGAACGGGUGAGUAAUACAUCGGAACGUGCCCGAUCGUGGGGGAUAACGAGGCGAAAGCUUUGCUAAUACCGCAUACGAUCUACGGAUGAAAGCAGGGGACCGCAAGGCCUUGCGCGGCCGGAGCGGCCGAUGGCAGAUUAGGUAGUUGGUGGGAUAAAAGCUUACCAAGCCGACGAUCUUUAGCUGGGACGAGGAGAAGAUCAGCCACACCGUGAGAGGAGACAGGCCCCAGAUCCCUAGGGGAGGCAGGGGGGGGGAAUUUUGGACAAGGGGCGCAAGCCUGACCCAGCCAUGCCGGGGGCAGGAUGAAGGCCUUCGGGUUGAAAACUGCUUUUGGCCGGAACAAAAAGCCUUUUUUUAAAACAGGGGGGUCAGGACGGGACCGUAAGAAUAAGCCCCGGCAAACUACGG
rnacentral:rRNA from 1 species